GACGAACGCUGGCGGCGUGCUUAACACAUGCAAGUCGAACGGAAAGGCCCUGCUUUUGUGGGGUGCUCGAGUGGCGAACGGGUGAGUAACACGUGAGUAACCUGCCCUUGACUUUGGGAUAACUUCAGGAAACUGGGGCUAAUACCGGAUAGGAGCUCCUGCUGCAUGGUGGGGGUUGGAAAGUUUCGGCGGUUGGGGAUGGUCUCGCGGCUUAUCAGCUUGUUGGUGGGGUAGUGGCUUACCAAGGCUUUGACGGGUAGCCGGCCUGAGAGGGUGACCGGCCACAUUGGGACUGAGAUACGGCCCAGACUCCUACGUGACGCAGCGGUGGGGAAUAUUGCACAAUGGGCGGAAGCCUGAUGCAGCAACGCCGCGUGCGGGAUGACGGCCUUCGGGUUGUAAACCGCUUUCGCCUGUGACGAAGCGUGAGUGACGGUAAUGGGUAAAGAAGCACCGGCUAACUACGUG
rnacentral:rRNA from 1 species